AGAGAGGUGACCGAGUGGUUUAAGGUGGAGGUUUGCUAAAUCUUUAUACAUUUAUUUAUUUUGUAUCGUAGGUUCAAAUCCUAUUCUUUCUG
rnacentral:tRNA from 1 species